rnacentral:rRNA from 1 species
GAUGAACGCUAGCGGCAGGCUUAAUACAUGCAAGUCGAGGGGCAGCAUGGGUAGCAAUACCUGAUGGCGACCGGCAAACGGGUGCGGAACACGUACGCAACUUUCCCAGAACUGGUGAAUAGCCCUCCGAAAGGAGGAUUAAUUCACCGUAAGAUAGAGAUGUGGCAUCACAUUUUUAUUAUAGCUCCGGCGGUUUUGGAUGGGCGUGCGCCUGAUUAGGUAGUUGGCGGGGUAACGGCCCACCAAGCCUACGAUCAGUAACUGGUGUGAGAGCACGACCAGUCACACGGGAACUGAGACACGGGCCCGACUCCUACGGGAGGCAGCAGUAAGGAAUAUUGGUAAAUGGACGCAAGUCUGAACCAGCCAUGCCGCGUGAAGGAUGAAGGCCCUCUGGGUUGUAAACUUCUUUUAUCUGGGACGAAAAAGGGGCAUUCUUGCUCAACUGACGGUACCAGAGGAAUAAGCACCGGCUAACUCCGUGCCAGCCGCCGCCGUAACAC